rnacentral:rRNA from 1 species
UACAGAGGUCUCAAGCGUUGUUCGGAUUCAUUGGGCGUAAAGGGUGCGUAGGUGGCGCGGUAAGUCGGGUGUGAAAUCUUGGAGCUUAACUCCGAAACUGCAUUCGAUACUGCCGUGCUUGAGGACUGGAGAGGAGACUGGAAUUUACGGUGUAGCGGUGAAAUGCGCAGAUAUCAGGAGGAACACCGAUGGCGAAGGCAGGUCUCUGGGCCACUACUGACGCUGAGAAGCGAAAGCAUGGGGAGCGAACAGG